AUGUUGUGAAACAAAUGACGUGGAGGUACGUAACGCAAUGUAUCUUAUCUUCAAGAUAAUCAUAAAUGCAAUCAUAAAGCCGGCGUGAUAAGUCGCCUUACAACGACGAGAGGCAAAGUGUAGCACUAGUUAGCAUAAUAUGAGGAAAUGCUAGUGGGUGGACAUCAACAAAUGAUUGCUUUCAUGAGGAUUUUUUCCAAGCAUUUUGCAUCUGUUUUGUGAUUACUGUGGCAUUGGUGUGUUAUACAGAACUGGAUUUAUGUUAAAACAUCGAAGAAGUAACUUACAACCUGCCUUGUAGUAACUAGACUCGUGGAAACACUACACUAAGCUUACACUUUGCCAUUCGUUGUUAGGACGGUAAUCACGCUAGUCUGGAGGAGUGUGUUGGUUAUAAUUCCUACGACAUGACUAGAAAUGGUCUCUUUCUGCCCUUUACGAUGCAUAAAAAACGUUUGUGUGUUCCCCCUCGUCAAGAAAUGAACGCCACUUGCAUAGUCGCAUAAUCAUCUGGUCAAAAAAGUCCUGACUUUAUUAACUUCCUGCUAUCAUUGCACCAUAACAUGGUUGAUUUUUUUCCCAUUCUUGUAUUUUUUGUAUGUCCUGAGGUUUUGGGAAAAGGGAUGUUGAAGGCUAAUAAAGUUGGAUUGCUUUUGUUACACCUGUGCUUCAUUUGUGUGUUUCAAUUUUAUGUUGGCCAGGCCUACUUUAGAUUUACAAGGACUACAGAAGAAAUGGGAUCCCAAAUUGGAACUGGAAGCAGAUCAUGGGUCACACCAUGCAACCAAACACUUUCUGCACCGCUGAGCGAAAAAGAGAUGCAAUACUUCACACCCUGAAGAUGUACCUGGGGGGAAUUGCCAGAAGAUUUUUUUUUUGUGUGGGGCGAAGAUGAAGCAUGGCAGGACUGAGUGUAGGCUAUAUAUACACUGCAGGCCCUGGGGGGAGCUUUUGGUUGUAUUCUUCAUGUAAGAGAUGUAUGUAAAGCUGUGAGACACUUGUUAUUAGAAUGUAAUAUUACUGAUAUGUGUGGUGUUAACUAAAUAGACUGAUACAUUGA